UAUAUAAGCAACGGUCCAAUUUUAUAUAAGCAACGAUUAUUAUAUAAUCGUUAUCUAUUAACAAUUCUUUUGAAAAUUCUAUGUAAAUAUAUAGUCUUAUAAACCCGUAAGGCCACAAUCGUAUGAGCCAUAUAAUUUUUUUUCGGCCUAGAAAAAUAUUGUAAAACUAUAUAUUAUUAUCGUUUUAACCAUAUCUUUAGGUGUAUGCAAUUUUUACAUAAAAUGAAACUUUAGAAUUUUUUGAAUUGUAACACAUGUUUUCU
rnacentral:sRNA from 1 species